rnacentral:lncRNA from 1 species
GUUUCCAACAUGGAAUCAUGCUUUGGUUAGGUUCCCACCCUGCUGGAAGCACAGAUGUGGGAAUAGCUGAAGGCUUCUGAGACUGAAAAACAAGACUUCCUUGGGAAUUCAGAAAAGUUAUAUGAAAAGGAUUUCCAACUCAUUACAACUGAAUCUGCGCUGCUAUUCCCAGCUACCCUGGGAGAGAAAAUGCAGUUGAUGAUGUUCAGAUCAUUUUUCAAGCUGGGAGAGUCUGAAACUCAGAACAGAAGGCUGAUUUAUGAUUUAUCUCAAGCACCUACCUCUGAUCUUGGCAGAAAAUUGGCACAGAAGUUUGGCUUAUUCAAUAAAUGAGUGCCAGGUCCAGCUCUUCUGUGGAUAAUGAAGUUAUAAUAUUCUUUCUUUAAGUACUUCCUAAAUAAAUUUGCACAUUAAAA